CUUGGUGGCCAUAGCGCCUGUGACCCACCCGAUCCCAUCUCGAACUCGGCCGUGAAACCAGGCAGCGCCGAUGGUACUGCCGCCUAAGCGUCGGAAGAGUAGGACGCCGCCAGGC
rnacentral:rRNA from 1 species